UGAAUUCCAUCUUAAAAGUAGAAAAUGGAAAAAAUGAAACUGAAGAAAAAGAAUUCAACAGCAAGCCAAAAUUAUAUGUUUUGCUUGCAACCCUCUUGAGUGUGGCCUGUUUCAUUAAUAUUGUUCAAACGCUUUUGAUGAUAUAUCUUAAAAGGAAACUCGCAAAACGAAGCAAUCAAGAAAAGACAAAAACUGUACAAUCAAAUUUGGCAGUCCUACCUCAUUUCUACUCAUAUCCUGAUUUCAGCACAGGAGAAGAAAACAU